CAACACCUAUAUCUCCUUCUUUCUUUUCAUUCUGUUUUUCUUCACGUUAUAUCUUUCACAGUUGUUGAAGUAAUUCUGUUUUUAAGAGAGAAAAACAGGGGCGAAAGAACACCAAAUAGAGAUGGGAUUACGCUAUUUUGGACGAAAACUACUUUGUUUUGGACAAAAGAAGAGGGGCGGAACUACUCUGAUUUAUCACCCAAACAGGGGCAGAAAAGACACGGUUUUGGAGGAAGAACAACAGGCAUGAACAGUCACUUUUACUCUUAAAUCCGGGAAUUUUUAUC